rnacentral:rRNA from 1 species
UACGUAGGUGGCAAGCGUUACUCGGAAUUACUAGGCGUAAAGCGCAGGUAGGUGGUGUGAUAAGUCCGUCAUGAAAUCCCCCGGCUUAACUGGGAGGGGUUUAGGGAUACUGUCAUGCUCGAGUGUGGGAGAGGUAACUGGAAUUCCUGGUGUAGCGGUGAAAUGCGUAGAGAUCAGGAGGAACACCUAUGGCGAAAGCAGGUUACUGGCCCAAUACUGACGCUGAGCUGCGAAAGCUAGGGGAGCAAACAGG